AAAUAUGAAUUGUCUCCUAAAAGAAUAAGCCAAAAAUGUGAAAAGGAUGAAGACUAGCUGUUCCAGAAUUUUCCAUAUCUCUUUAAGAAGGCCCUACAGACCUCAAAGUUCUGAUCUGUGACAUGAUGUCAGUGUUCUAUAGGUUUUUAACAAUAAGUCAUCUGAUGUAACCUGGUAACAAUGAGCAAGAGAAUCAUUCAGAGUUCCAUGGCCCCAGCAUAUAUGAUGGCACCUCCUAUAACUUCAGUUUACUGGUCACAGAUCACAUUUUUUGAAGCUCAAGGACAAAGGGGAAAAAUGAGUCACAAUUUGAAAGUAAGAAGAGCCUGCAUUAGUCACAUAAAACCUGCUCAGGUUCCAAUCUAUGUAAGGAAACAUUGGUUUCUCUCCAAAAGAAAAGAAAAUGUUACUUCCUGCUGGCAUCCACUUUAUAAGGGUCACAAAAUAAAUAGGUUUGAUUGUAAAGGCUCAAUGACAUUCCUGAUUGAUAGCUAUUCCCUGAGACAUUGAGAGCUUAGAGAGUAAAAUGAUGUAUAGGAUUUCCAAGACUGUUUUCAAAUAGGCUCACAAUCCCUGUAUUUGAAAAAUAU
rnacentral:lncRNA from 1 species